GCUUACGGCCAUACCACCCUGAGCACGCCCGAUCUCAUCUGAUCUCGGAAGCUAAGCAGGGUCGGGCCUGGUUAGUACUUGGAUGGGAGACCGCCUGGGAAUACCAGGUGCUGUAAGCU
rnacentral:rRNA from 1 species